AAAUCUGAUUCUUCACACAAGACGCCACCUCUCGAACUCUCUUCCUUAGAUCUGAAUCUCAGUCCAGCGAUCUUAAUCGUCACUUCACUACUUCGUCACUUCCUUGUAAGCCCUAAAUCUCGUUGAUCUGAACCACUACUUCGUCGAUUCAUCGACGGCCAGUGGAGAGAAGUCAUCAUCAUCGAUGGUAUCGAUGGUAGUUAAGAAGAAUCACAUAGCCGACAACCGAACUCGUCAUCGCCGAUUCGCCGUAUAUGCCUCAAAAGGAGAAAGACUUUAAGGUAUCAUUGUCAUCAAUGGAGAAAGAGAGUUCUAAUUCUAGCCAAGUAAUGGACAUUGAAGAACUAAUGACCAAGCGGUUUGAAAUGCAUUGGGAAGUUCACAAACAUCUUUGCCAAAAAGUGAGUUAGAUAAGUAUCUUGAUGAGGAUCGAGAGCCUAUGGACCCACGGUUUGACAUAUUAAAAUGGUGGAAAGUUCAACAAUGCCGAUAUCCCAUUCUUGCUAAAAUGGCUCGAGAUAUUCUCGCCAUUCCGGUGUCUACGGUUGCCUCCGAGUCGGUUUUAGCAUCGGUGGAUGGGUGCUUGAUUCGUUCCGAACUUCGUUAACCCCAAGAAUGGUUGAAGCGUUGGUAUGUGCACAAGAUUGGUUGUGUGCCUCUAAUAAUAAGAUUUUUAUCCAAUACACCAUUCUUGACAUCGAGAGCUUGGAAGAAGGUAUGAAGGAGUUAGCCUUGGAACAACCCCACCAUUAUCAUUGAUGAAACGGUUCAUGAAAGCUAUGAAACAUCCGAAACGGCAUAAGGAAUCAAAUUUGAUGCAGUUUAUAACCCUAUCAUAAUCUACCAGUACUAUUGUCCCACUAAACAAGACUGCCUAAGCUCUGUUUUUGGUUAACUUGGAAGUUGGGAGAUAGAUUGAAUUUUGGGCUAUCUUAUUUGGAAGAUUAUGUCUUUAGUUUUGAACAAUGAAUUAUGUUAUUAUUAUGUCUUUAAUUUGGAACUAGGGAUUUUCUUUAUUUGCCUUUUUUUGAACAUCUUAUUAUUUGGUUUGUAUGUUGGACCGGUGUAAAACCCGUGUGGAUCUUUCAAUGAUAUCAAACAACAACUUGUGUAAGUGCG
rnacentral:lncRNA from 1 species